rnacentral:antisense_RNA from 1 species
UGUGGGAGCGAGCCUGCUCGCGAAUGCGUUGGGUCAGAUACAUCAAUGUUGACUGACACUCCGCCUUCGCGAGCAGGCUCGCUCCCACA